UGAAUCGAUGAAAUCGUUUAAUUCCCAAUCCCAUUUUUAUCGCAACCCUAACCCAAUUCGAUGAAAUUGUUUAAUUCGAUUGAGAUGAUAUCGACUCUGCUUUGCAGAUUACGAUUGAGGGUUUUGCAGAUUAUGAUUUCAUCGCCCCAUACAUUCUCAUCGAUUCCCUCCUGGAGUGACGAUUUAGAAGUUGACGAUUCACCCCCAAUCCAUGCUUCAAAUACGGCUAGGAUUCCAAUCAAGGUAAUUUUUUUGGUUUCCAUCUUCAUUUGGUUGGUUAGAGUUUAUGAGUUUUCUAUGGGUUAACAUUCAAAUUAAUUGUUUCUGUGUGUUGAUUCCUUUCAAAAUCUUCAUUUAUGUGGGUUAGGGUUCUUGUGUGCAGAAACUUCAUCUCCUUUCUUCACCGAAUAGGGAUGGCCCUGUUUCCUGGUUUGAAUAAAUCUUCUUCUAAUUCCUUUUUUCGCUUUGUUUAUUUAAUGUUUUCAUAGAUUUAUCUAUUUUUUAAUUUCAUUAUUGUUUUACACAACGUCGAAUUAUUGUUCUACACCAAGUCUGUUUUUAUUAUCUAGAGGUCUAAUUACUUAAAUGUUUUUAAGUCGAACUGAAGAUGAUUCUGCUGUUACCGGGUACAUUUACAUUUUGAUUUUUGCACACUCUAUAUCUCGAAGCAAAGCUGUUUUUAUAUGCUUACAGAACAACUUGUCAUAUGUUUCGGUUGUGUUUUCUUUCUUGACCUAUUCAGCAGACAUCAGAGAUGACUACAACAAUGGUUGAUCUUCAAAUCAUCCCAUUACAUAACUGCACCAAAUGUAUAAGAAAGGUCAAAAAGACACUUUGUCGGUUUGAUGGUGUCAAAUUGUUAGAUGUCGACUCUGAAAAUGGGAAAUUCACCAUCGAAACUACUAGACACCCUGAAGAAAUCAGGGAUGCUCUUCAACACAAGUUUGCUGGGAAAUUCUUUUUUUCUGUCCAAAAGGAUCAACCAUUCGAAUCCAUUCUCGACUUUGGUGUUUUGUUGAUUGGGAUGGAGCCUUAAGGUCGGUAGAAACAUUAACAUUCUACUUAAAUUAGGGAAUCAGGUGACGAGAAAUCGUUCCAUGAUUCUAGGUUUUGAUUACUUGGAAGUUCUAUUUUCCACACAUUCAAUCUCAAAGACUGGUUUCAUUUUGGGACAAAAGUUUUUUAUCUGUAGUAGGACAUAACACAGUUUUUGCUUGCACACAUUUCGAUUUCUUGCAAAUAUCAAUAAUUUGAAUUGAAACAAUUUGUUCCAGGCUGACCACCAGAUAUAUAUAUAUAUAUAUAUAUAUAUCGAAUCUAAUACACACCGUUCUUUCUUACAACUUGUAUUUGACGAGUUACAAGAGAGAGUUCGUGAAAGGGUGGAGAAAGAAACGGAAAGGCGUAAAUGUCUUGCAGAUGACUUGAGCACUUCUAAGGAAAUUACUUCAUCUUCACGAUGGGAGGACCUUAAACCCCUAUUUGAAGAUAUACUGGAAAGCUGUAAAAUCUGGAUCAUGAUUAUGUUUUUUCUGAUGACUCCGGGCCAUGUAUUCAACACUUACCGGUGAUUAUUUGUUGCAUGCGACAUUUGCAGGUCUAACCUGUAAUCUACAAUAGUUCUGUUUUGAACCCGAUAAGGUGAGCUUCAUUCUUACCAUCUUCAGGAUGAUAGGAUGACUUGGACGAUAAUAAGGAAGCAAAACAGAGAAGCAUUGUCGAAGUUCAAGCAUUCAAGUGUUUGGUAAAUGAUACCUACAGUCAGGAGUUAUGAACAGUCGAUUUCACAAACCACAAGUCUGGACGCAGUCUUAAGUUUGAUUGCACAGUCCAGACUUUAGACAACCAAUUUUCAAGGUAAAUCAUGCCUUUUCUAAAGAGGAUUAAUCAAAUGAAGAACAUGUAGUCCAUACAAGAGUUGGGAACAAUGAUUUCAAGAGUCUGAGACUUUAGCAUAUGGCUGUUAGCUUAAAAAGGCAGAUUUUAUUCAAGUCUCCUGUGUGGCAAAAAAAAUUAUGAAAUUCUUAUUCAAUAUUAUUAUAUA